rnacentral:lncRNA from 1 species
GGGAGGGAGAGGCCGUCGGGCUGCCUGCUGAGGGUGGCCUUGCCCAGCGGUGCUGAGGACCAGGCCUGCCUGGGGCGGACGGUUCACCCGACCGGUGCCGAAGUAUCCAGCAAAGCAGAGGCAGAGCCCUCCCCCAUCAGGGGUCUCCGAGCUCGGGGCUGUGGGAGGCCGCCCUGGUCUUUCGAUCACCGGUUGAAAUACAGCCUCUGCUUGGACAGCUGAGGCUGCCCCACGGCCAGUGUCUUGCAGAGUUUGCUGGCUGCCCAUCUUCCUGGACGCCACUCCCACCCCCACCAGUUGUCCCGCUGGGGAGCGGAGCUGUCACCAGCGGUCACCACGGCCCCUCCUCGUGGGACGAAGCAGAUGAGCCAUUGGGCUGUGCAGUGAUGCCGGCGUCUCACGUCCAGCUGCUGUUCCCGCCCCAGGCCGCCUUCCCGUCGGGAUCUGGACCAGCCUCGGCCACUCUUCUGGGCCCUUGCUCCUCCCGCGGGUUCCUGGGUUCAGGCCUGUGGUUGGGAUUCCCUGGCGAUGCUGGAAGUUUUCAUAGCUGAAAAGGUC